rnacentral:rRNA from 1 species
UGCCAGCAGCCGCGGUAAUACAGAGGGUGCAAGCGUUAAUCGGAAUUACUGGGCGUAAAGCGAGCGUAGGUGGCUUGAUAAGUCAGAUGUGAAAUCCCCGGGCUUAACCUGGGAACUGCAUCUGAAACUGUUAGGCUAGAGUAGGUGAGAGGGAAGUAGAAUUUCAGGUGUAGCGGUGAAAUGCGUAGAGAUCUGAAGGAAUACCGAUGGCGAAGGCAGCUUCCUGGCAUCAUACUGACACUGAGGCUCGAAAGCGUGGGUAGCAAACAGGAUUAGAUA